rnacentral:tRNA from 2 species
GCUGCUGUAGCUCAGUUGGUAGAGCACGUCCUUGGUAAGGACGAGGUCACGCGUUCGAGUCGCGUCAGCAGCU